CCUUUUAAUCAUUUUUAAAUGUUCUGUAUGGCAUAAACACACAUUUAAGGAAAGAAUUGACAUAAAAGUGGUUUUGCAGGUGAGUCAAGUGUCGAUUAGACAAAUUCAAGGCAGUCCUUUUCAAAUGGUUAAAUCUGUUUUUCUAAAAUAUAGUCAGUGUGAGGUAUCUUAAGUGAAAACUACUUAAAGGAAUUAGAUAUCAAAAAGCUUUAAACAUGGCUUAUUUUUGUUGUAUGUUUUCCCUCUAGACACUUUUUAAAGGUGACUCCUUCACAUUCUAACUUAAUUUGCUUUUAUCCUUAUGAUGAUACUGACAAUUUGCUGAGUGUGUACCACUCAGCAUUCUACUGGUGCUCUAUCCUUGAUUCUUGGCCUUUGGCAUUCAUUGUCCCAGAAAUUCUAAGACAACCUCACAAUCACCAACCACGCUAUGGUCAGCCAUUACCUAUAAUAGCCAGGUAGUCAUCCUCAGGGUUCUAUUUUCUGGCUUUCUGUUUUUAUUCUCCAUCUUUCAUCUUUGGAAGCCAUAGUGUGAAUGCCACGAAGGAAAGGAACUGCUUAACAACCAUGUACAAUGUUAAUUCUUCUGGGGCAUUUCUUAUUGGCAAUUUUUCCUAUGAAAGUCUCUUAAUACCUAGAAGAUCAAGUUUUACUUUUAUGGUAAGGGUAGACAAAAAAGGUAAAGAAUCUCUGUCAUAAUAUAUGUGCUUCAAGGAAUCAUUGGAUUGAUUGGUGACCCUUUUAAAAAGUUGGUGAAUGAGAUCAUCCCUCAGCUUGAUAUGUGAUAGGUUGGCUUCACCCUUUAUAGAGAGAGCCUGUGCUGUCCAGAAGUGAUUUAUGUCGUCGUAGCUGUUUUGCACAGUUCAGCUGAAAUUUUCUUCAUGUUGAUCAAGACUGGGUUUCCAAGCUUAAAGUGCAGAAGCCACUCAGUUCCAUCUCAUUGAUGAUCAUCACAGAUUUGACCAAUUCUGUUUCUGGCCUGGAUUGGUUAGUCCUUCCUUAGGAGGCCUGCUGGCCAUCUGCUCCUAGGAUCUCACCAUAUUGCUGCCAGGCUUAGUGAAGACCCCUGAUUGGCUUUGCCUUACUGCAGCUCAAAACUCCAGAGUUUAAUCCAUACAGCAGUUUCAGCUUCCCUUAGUAGCAAGGAUUCCUACCAUAUGCCACCAUGCUCAGAGCAAACUGUUUCUCUAUAUUAAUUAAAUUCACUAAUCACUGCUCACAACUCUUCUCCAUCCUUAAGCCAGGUGAACCUGCCUUGUGAAAGGCUACAUGUAUAGUAAAUAGAUCACAGUCCUUGGAUUUAGAAAUAUCUGAGGGACCUUGGGUAACUCAGUUAAUGUCUCAAUACCUCUGAGAAGCCUUCAAAACUACUAAAAAAACAAACAAACUAACAACUGAAUAUUGUUGAUCUACAUAAGUUUCCACACUGGAAGCCAAUGUAUUGUUAUUAUACAAAGGUUUCCAUACCAGGAUCUGCACUAUUGAAAUAAAAAGACUAUUUAUGUAGACCUGGAUGGAACCUUAGAUAUCAUUUAUUUUUAUCACCACCCCUCAUUUUACUCAUGAAGAAAAUGAAGCCCAGAAUCCCUCUGUGUGGGGAAUUUCUUCUCUUCUCUUUCUUUAUCUAACAUCCCUACUGCUGCUGUCAUCUUCUCUUCUCUCCCCUUUUUCUCUCCACCAUUCUCUCUUUCCCCCUCUCUCACUUUCCCUCCUCUCUCUUUUCUCUCUUCCCUAUUCUCCACCACUCUUCCCUCACCUAUCUUUCCCUCCUCCCUCUUCCUCCUCUCUCUUUCCUCUCUCCCAUACCCUCCACCACUCCUUCCUCUCCUAUCUUUCCCUCCUCCCUCUUCCUCUUCUCUCUUGUCUCUCCUCUACUCUCCACCACUUUUUCCUCUCCUAUCUUUCCCUCCUCCCUCUUCCUCCUCUCUCUUUCCUCUCUCUCCCCUACUCUCCACCACUUUUUCCUCUCCUAUCUUUCCCUCCUCCCUCUUCCUCCUCUCUCUUUCUUCUCUCUCCCCUACUCUCCACCACUUUUUCUUCUCCUAUCUUUCCCUCCUCCCUCUUCCUCCUCUCUCUUUCCUCUCUCCCAUACCCUCCACCACUCUUUCCUCUCCUAUAUUUCCCUCCUCCCUCUUCCUCCUCUCUCUUGUCUCUCCUCUACUCUCCACCAUUUUUUCCUCUCCUAUCUUUCCCUCCUCCCUCUUCCUCCUCUCUCUUUCUUCUCUCUCCCCUACUCUCCACCACUUUUUCUUCUCCUAUCUUUCCCUCCUCCCUCUUCCUCCUCUCUCUUUCCUCUCUCCCAUACCCUCCACCACUCUUUCCUCUCCUAUAUUUCCCUCCUCCCUCUUCCUCCUCUCUCUUGUCUCUCCUCUACUCUCCACCACUUUUUCCUCUCCUAUCUUUCCCUCCUCCCUCUUCCUCCUCUCUCUCCCCUACUCUUCACCAUUUUUCCUCUCCUAUCUUUCCCUCCUCCCUCUUCCUCCUCUCUCUUGUCUCUCCUCUACUCUCUACCACUUUUUCCUCUCCUAUCUUUCAUUCCUCCCUCUUCCUGCCCUUUCUUCCCAAAUCUCUCUCUCCAGUAUUCUCUCUUCUCUUUCCUUUCUCCCCCCUCCUUCACCCAUUUUUAACAGUGAAUUAGUGAAAUAGGAAUUUCUUUCAUGCUGAUGAAACCACAGGUAUGAACACAAACAAACAAAAAGUUGCCCAUAACUGUGUUAGAUGCUGUAGAGGGCCCAGAAAGAAACAAAGGACAUGGCUUCUCCAUUCAAGGAAUGGCAAAAUAACCUUCCUAGAAUGUGCUAUCCUACAGUGAACACAGUCAGAUUACAGACUCCAUUGCACAGAUAACACUGAGUCCAUGUAGGUAGAUAUCAAGAAGGAGAAUCAUUCCCUUGAAAAUCAAGAGAAUUUGUGAAGUAUAAUAAGCAUUUCACAAGUUGGUACAGGUUCUUAUCAGACAGGUUAAAGAUUUUUUGCAAAAUGAAGACUUUUGCAUGCUGGGUUGUGAACUAUCACGGUAGGCACCUACUUUGGCAGCCUCUUGCAAAAUGAUGGAUGGAUAGUCAGCAUAUAAGAGCAUGCUUCAGCAGAGUGAAGCUCAGUUUUCACAGCUGGUACUUUUUGAUUCAUUGGAUAAAAGUUUGCUUAAAACAUAGUAGGCUAUGUGUCUCCCCCCAAAUCUCACAUCAUGUCAUAGUAAAAAUGCUAUAUUUUUCCAUUGUAUAUACACUGACUUACAUAUGCAUUUUUACUUUCAUUUAAGAGACUCUCUGUCUAAACUAAAGCCAAAUUUAAUGGACUUGGUAGAAUUAGACCCUUAAGUUUUCUUUACAAAGGCCUUAAAGUUAUAUGCGUAGAUAUUUGAAGAUAAUGUGUUAUAUUACAUUGUUUCUUUUUGUCCUCCUUAUGAUCUCUGUCAGUUACACCUAAACAAAUUAAUCCAAGGGGAAAAAAAAUCUUCUCCCUUUGUUUCAUAGGCAGGACAUGAGAGACUGGAUUUGUGAUUACAUUCUCUUAGGAACUUAAGGAACCUCCCAAAUUAAUUCAGCCUGGUACUUUCUGUACCACUCAUAAUCUUAAGAGCUAACAUAGCAAUGAAAUGUAAAAUAGUGUGCUAAGUCACAGAAGUGGCACUUGAAGGGCCAGCCAAGCCUAGAAUUGGGAGGACCUGGGCUCAAAUGAGACUUCAGAUACUUCCUAGCUGUGUGACCCUGGGCAAGUCACUUAAUCCCAUAUGUCUAGUCCUUACUGCUCUUCUGCCUUGAAACUGAAACUUGUAUUGAUUCUAAGACAGAAGAUAAAAGGGGCCCUUGAAUUCAAGUCUUUCUGGUUUUGAGACUAUCUCUCUUUCUACCAUUCUCCAUUUAUACAGUUUUAUUGUCCCCUUCUUUCACUUUAUCAUAAAGGAAGAAAUUAUCCAAAAUGCAGAGGCAGAAAGGACCAGAGAAUUUCCCUAUUAUAAACUCUUUAUUUUACAGAAGAGUAACAUAAGGUCCAGAGAGCUUAAACAUCUUACCCAAGAUCAUCCUGCGGAGUAAGAUGCUCUUUCAAAUGUGCCCCACCGCUUCAUUCCCAGUUCUCUCUUUGCUUUGACUCAGUCUUUGACACUUUUGACUCUUUCACAGCUCUUUACUGGUUCCAGACCCAAGCUAUAAGGAGCCAAUUAACAAAGCAGUCAGAAAAGGGCCAUUGAUUACCAGUGGCAUGCCAGAGGCAGGGCUAGAUGCUGGUUUUAGGUAAAGUUGUGUGAAGUUCCUGCCCUGAAAGAAGGUCAGCAUUAGUGGGGACCAUCAGAGGGGAAGACAAGCAGUGGCAUGCAUAAAUAGUAAAUUCCAAAAAUGUUCUCCCAAUGAACUUGUAAAGCGGUCACCACCAGCUUGCAGUGAGGCCAGGCUGGAUUGAGUUAGAUCUUGGAAGGCUUUGGAUGCAAAGUGAAGGAAUCUGGAAUCUAUCCCUGAAAGGAUUUUUGUCCUGUUUUGGCUGGCUUUUGAGCAGGCAAGUUAUUUGAUCAAUAACAUAUUCCAGAAAGAUUAAUCUAGUGGAAGUAGGAGGAAUGGAUUAGAACUAGGGGACAAUGGAGACAGGAGGGGAGAUGAGUUAAGAAGCAAUUGCCAUAGUCUAGACAUGAGGUCAUCAGGGCAUGAACCAGUGUAGUGGUAAUGAGAAGAGAAAGGAAGAGACUAAUACAAGAGAUAUUGCCAAGGAAGAAUGGUCAGCCUUUGAUGACUGAUUAGGCAGCUGAGGGUAAUUGGGAGAGAGGGAGAGGAGAGAGGAGAGUUCACUGGGAAGAAUAAACAGACAAAAGGACAUAGGGCUGAAUUAUAAAUCUUGAGAUCUGCCAAUAUUUAGGAGAAGGGUAGGAGAAGAGAAACCAUCAAAAGAGACGUAGCAUUAGAACAAUGUUUUAUAAGGACAGUCAGAAUGCUGAGGGUGAUUGGCAAUGUCCGACUAAAGAGAGGUGAAUGAUGAUUAUACAGUGACCAGUUACAAAAGCCUCUGCUAUAAUAACUUGCCUACAUAGAAUACCUUCUUCUUUAAAAAGUAUGUCUAUGUACAUAAUAUAUGGACAUUCAUGUAAUACCAUAUUUUUAUGGAAGCUAGAUGUCUUUACUAUGUAACUAUAAGUUCAAAAGAAGUUUAAUGCCCCCAAAGGCUACCUACAUCAAAAGACCGGAGGAAAAAAAGUAGAUUUUAACAUCCAGCAUAAAUUAAGAUCUCUCUAUCAAGAAACAUCAGGGAGCUGGAAUUAAAUAAAAAUUAAGCCUGGAAACUGAGUAAUGACCCAGCUGUUCAUUAUAGUCUUAAAUUUUCAAUCAAAGAUAAAAUCUCAUUAAAAGUAUAUCUUUGAUUAGGAAACAAGUUUUGAUGGCACAAAAAAUCCUUAACGAUAUGAACCAUCUCCCCCCAUUUCCCCCACCCCUUUCCCUCUCUGUCUCUCUGUGUCUCUGUGGGUGUCUGUCUUUGUCUAUGCCUGUCUCUGUCACUCUAUCUCUGUCUCUCCCUCUCCUUCAUUCCCUCAUGCCCCCCACAAUCCUUAAUCUUCAGGAACAAAUAUAAAAGUCAUUAAUCAAAAGUAAUUGUGAUUAAAAUAGGUAAGGCUCCUUCGUUGUUUUUUUUUCUUACCAGCUACAAAAUUAAAUAGGCUACUUCAUAGCCUAUUGUAACUUUAAAUAGAAAUUACCUAAAAUGAUUGCCAUGAAAUAAUAAGUGUUAUUUCAGGGGAUUUGGCUGAGGGGACAUGGAGGAGAGGAUUUUUUAAAAAAACUAAUGUACUUCUAUAGAGACAGUUAUAAGAUACAUUUAAGUUGUACAAACUUAAGGCAUCUGGAAUUGUAUUUAUCUCAAAGUAGAUCAUCUUAAAACAAAUUCAAGUAAGUUAACCCUAGGAAGUCUAUCAUGGAUAUCAAUUUUUUAUAACAUUAUGGGAUGAAGACUUAGAAAACAGCAUUCCUCUACUCCAACCUACUCAUUAAUUUUUUUCCUUUUUUAUUUAGAAUAUUUUCCCAUGGUUACAUGAGCCAUGAUUUCCCCCCACCCUUCCCUUCCUUCUCCUCCUGGACCUGACAAGCAGUUCCACUGGGUUAUAUGCGUAUCAUUGUUCAAAACCUAUUUCCGUGUUAUUCAUAUUUGCAGUUGAAACCUACUCAUUUUACAAAGGAGAACCUUAAGAUUGGAGCAAAUUGAAAUGACUUGCCUGAGAUCACACAUGUAUUCAUCAUAGUCGUCAACAACAGCUAGCAUUUGCCCUAGCACUUUAAGGUUUGCAAUGCAAUUUACAAACAAUGCUUCAUUUUGUCCUCACAACAACCUUGGGGGCUGCUAUCAUUACCCUGUUUUAUAGAUGAGGAAACUGGGGCAGGCAGUAGUUUAAGUGUUUUACCCAGGGUCACACUGCUGGUAAAUGUCUCAGACUGGAUUUAAUUCAUGUCUUCCUGGUCCAAGUCUAGCUCUCUGUCUGCUGUGUCACCUAGUCACCUCAGUCCUACCUAUUAUUGAUAAAUGCUUCUAGAUCAACUAGGCUAGGGUUUUGUCCUCUCUUAGACUGUCAGCCCUCACAUGUGUAUGAGCCUCCACAUCUUAUCUCCUAGCAAAGUGCCCUUCCUACAGUAAAUGGUUAAUAAAUGUGUGAUGAAUGAAUGCAUGGAUGUAUACAUAGAUACCUUGGAUUGAGUUUGGCUUUAUCCUAUUCCAGAGAUUAUCCUAUUCUAUAGGCUUCAUAACGAACUCCUAUUCCUUACUUGAUGGCUUUCAAAAGUAAGUCUGUCUCUCUUUGCUUGGCUGUUAUAAACAAACCUUGUAAUUGAUAAGAGUUUAACCAUCAUUCAAGUUAAAAACAGGAGAGAAAAAAGUAUGAAAUAGAUCAGAUCACUGAAUAAUACAACCUUUGUUUAAGAAAAGGGAAUUAGUAGAGAGGAAAGGACCUACCAGUUCAAAAAUAUUCAUAGCAGCUCUUUUUGUGGUGGCAACGAACUGGAAACUAAAGGGCUGUCCCUCAAUUGGGGAAUGGCUGAACAAAUUGCGGUAUACUACUGUGCAGUAAAGAAAUGAUGAACAGGAUAAUUUCAGAAAGAGCUGGAAAGACCUUCAUGGACUGAUAUGUAGAGACAAAUAAGCAGAAUCAGGAAAACAUCGUAUGCAGCAAUAUUGUGGAAUGAUCAACUGUGACCGACUUAGCUAUGAUCGGCAAUACAAUGAACCAGGACAAUUUGGAGGGACUUAUGACAAAGAAUGCUCUCCACCUCCAGAGAAAGAACUGUUGGAGUUGGAAUGCAGAUGAAAUUUUUCAAUUGUUUAUUUGUGUUUGGAUUUUGGGGGGUUUAGUUUUAUAAAAUUAGUCACAAAAAUGAAUAAUAAGGAAAUAUGUUUUGCAUGAUAAUACAUAUGUAACCCAGAUCAAACCAUCUGCUAGCACAAAGAAUGGAAUGGAAGGGAGGGAGGGAGAUAAGUAUAAUCAUAUAACUUAGGAAAACUUGUAUGAAAAUUUGUUACUACACAUAAUUGGUAAAAAAUAAAAAUAUAUUUUAAAAA